UUACGGCCAUAUAAUGUUGAAACAUCGGUUCCCGUACGAUCAAGCAACGUCGAGCCAGGUCAGUACUUAGACGGGUGAUGGCUUGGGAAUACCAGGUGCUGUAAG